rnacentral:rRNA from 1 species
GUCUUUUUGUCAAAAAUUUAAAGUCGGGCCUGCCCACUGAAGUUUUGAAUGGCCGUGGUAUAUUGACCGUGCUAAGGUAGCAUAAUCAUUAGUUUUUUAAUUAAAAGCUGGAAUGAAGGGUUUGAUAAAAAAAUAACUGUCUCUAUUUAAUUUUAUUAGAAUUUUAUUUUUAAGUUCAAAAGCUUAAUUUUCAUUAAAAGACGAGAAGACCCUAUAGAGUUUAAUAUUAAAAAAUAAUUUUUAUUUAAGAAUUAAUUUAUUUAUUAUUCAAGAAUAUUUAAUUGGGGUGAUUGAAAAAUUUAAUUAACUUUUUUUAUAAUUACCAUUAAUUUAUGAUUAUUUGAUCCAAUUUUUUUGAUUAUAAGAUAAAAUUACCUUAGGGAUAACAGCGUAAUUUUUUUAUAAAGUUCAAAUUAAAAGAAAAGAUUGCGACCUCGAUGUUGGAUUAAAAUAAAAGUUUGGUGUAGAAGCUAAAUAUUUAAGUCUGUUCGACUUUUAAAAUUUUACA